rnacentral:rRNA from 1 species
UACGUAGGUGGCAAGCGUUAUCCGGAUUUACUGGGUGUAAAGGGCGUGUAGGCGGGGACGCAAGUCAGAUGUGAAAACCACGGGCUCAACCUGUGGCCUGCAUUUGAAACUGUGUUUCUUGAGUACUGGAGAGGCAGACGGAAUUCCUAGUGUAGCGGUGAAAUGCGUAGAUAUUAGGAGGAACACCAGUGGCGAAGGCGGCUUUCUGGACGAUAACUGACGCUGAGGCGCGAAAGCGUGGGGAGCAAACAGG